rnacentral:rRNA from 1 species
GACGAACGCUGGCGGCGUGCUUAACACAUGCAAGUCGAACGAAGAGCGAUGGAAGCUUGCUUCUAUCAAUCUUAGUGGCGAACGGGUGAGUAACGCGUAAUCAACCUGCCCUUCAGAGGGGGACAACAGUUGGAAACGACUGCUAAUACCGCAUACGAUCUAAUCUCGGCAUCGAGGAUAGAUGAAAGGUGGCCUCUACAUGUAAGCUAUCACUGAAGGAAGGGAUUGCGUCUGAUUAGCUAGUUGGAGGGGUAACGGCCCACCAAGGCGAUGAUCAGUAGCCGGUCUGAGAGGAUGAACGGCAACAUUGGGACUGAGACACGGCCCAGACUCCUACGGGAGGCAGCAGUGGGGAAUCUUCCGCAAUGGACGAAAGUCUGACGGAGCAACGCCGCGUGAGUGAUGACGGCCUUCGGGUUGUAAAGCUCUGUUAAUCGGGACGAAAGGCCUUCUUGCGAAUAGUGAGAAGGAUUGACGGUACCGGAAUAGAAAGCCACGGCUAACUACG